rnacentral:rRNA from 1 species
UACGGAGGGAGCGAGCGUUGUUCGGAAUUACUGGGCGUAAAGGGUGCGCAGGCGGCUAUGCAAGUCGGAAGUGAAAUCCCAGGGCUUAACCCUGGAAUUGCUUUCGAAACUGCAUAGCUUGAGUCUCGGAGAGGUUGGCGGAAUUCCCAGUGUAGAGGUGAAAUUCGUAGAUAUUGGGAGGAACACCAGUGGCGUAAGCGGCCAACUAGACGAGUACUGACGCUCAAGCACGAAAGCGUGGGGAUCAAACAGG